GACGAACGCUGGCGGCGUGCCUAAUACAUGCAAGUCGAACGCAGUGGGUACGGGUGAGUAACACGUGGGUAACCUCCCAUCAGAGGGGAUAACACUUGGAAACAGGUGCUAAACCGAUACUGAUGGAUGGACCCGCGGUGCAUGAGCUAGUUGGUGAGGUAACGGCUCACCAAGGCCACGAUGCAUAGCCGCCCUGAGAGGGUGAGCGGCCACACUGGGUCUGAUACGCGGCCUAGACUCACACGUGAGGCAGACGUAGGGAAUCUUCGGCAAUGGACGAAAGUCUGACCGGGCAACGCCGCGUGAGUGAAGAAGGUUUUCGGAUCGUAAAACUCUGUUGUUAGAGAAGCGGUAUCUAACCAGAAAGCCACGGCUAACUACGUGACAGCAGCCGCGGUAAUAC
rnacentral:rRNA from 1 species